CUUUCCCUCUCUCUUGAUGCUUUACACAUGCAAGUCGAACGGCAGCGCGGACUUCGGUCUGGCGGCGAGUGGCGAACGGGUGAGUAAUGUAUCGGAACGUGCCCAGUAGCGGGGGAUAACUACGCGAAAGCGUAGCUAAUACCGCAUACGCCCUACGGGGGAAAGCCGGGGAUCGGAAGACCUUGCACUAUUGGAGCGGCCGAUAUCGGAUUAGCUAGUUGGUGAGGUAACGGCUCACCAAGGCGACGAUCCGUAGCUGGUUUGAGAGGACGACCAGCCACACUGGGACUGAGACACGGCCCAGACUCCUACGGGCGGCAGCAGUGGGGAAUUUUGGACAAUGGGGGCAACCCUGAUCCAGCCAUCCCGCGUGUGCGAUGAAGGCCUUCGGGUUGUAAAGCACUUUUGGCAGGAAAGAAACGGCGCGGGCUAAUACCCCGUGGAACUGACGGUACCUGCAGAAUAAGCACCGGCUAACUACGUG
rnacentral:rRNA from 1 species